GAUGAACGCUGGCGGCGUGCUUAACACAUGCAAGUCGAACGAUGAAGCCCAGCUUGCUGUGUGGAUUAGUGGCGAACGGGUGAGUAACACGUGAGUAACCUGCCCUUGACUCUGGGAUAAGCCUGGGAAACUGGGUCUAAUACUGGAUAUGACUUCUCAUCGCAUGGUGGGGGGUGGAAAGAUUUAUUGGUCUUGGAUGGACUCGCGGCCUAUCAGCUUGUUGGUGAGGUAAUGGCUCACCAAGGCGACGACGGGUAGCCGGCCUGAGAGGGUGACCGGCCACACUGGGACUGAGACACGGCCCAGACUCCUACGGGAGGCAGCAGUGGGGAAUAUUGCACAAUGGGCGCAAGCCUGAUGCAGCGACGCCGCGUGAGGGAUGACGGCCUUCGGGUUGUAAACCUCUUUCAGUAGGGAAGAAGCGAGAGUGACGGUACCUGCAGAAGAAGCGCCGGCUAACUACGUG
rnacentral:rRNA from 1 species